rnacentral:tRNA from 2 species
GUACAAAUAGCUCAGUUGGAUAGAGCAUCUGACUCUUAAUCAGGAAGUUGUGGGUUCAAGUCCCAUUUUGUAAACACCA